CCUACGGGAGGCAGCAGUGGGGAAUAUUGCACAAUGGGGGAAACCCUGAUGCAGCGACGCCGCGUGAGCGAUGAAGUAUUUCUGUAUGUAAAGCUCUAUCAGCAGGGAAGAAGAUGACUGUACCUGACUAAGUAUCCCCGGCUAACUACGUUCCAGCAGCCGCGGUACUACGUAGGGGGCAAGCGUUAUCCGGAUUUACUGGGUGUAAAGGGAGCGUAGACGGCGAUGCAAGCCAGAUGUGAAAGCCCGGGGCUCAACCCCGGGACUGCAUUUGGAACUGUGUGGCUGGAGUGUCGGAGAGGCAGGCGGAAUUCCUAGUGUAGCGGUGAAAUGCGUAGAUAUUAGGAGGAACACCAGUGGCGAAGGCGGCCUGCUGGACGAUGACUGACGUUGAGGCUCGAAAGCGUGGGGAGCAAACAGGAUUAGAUACCCGUGUAGUC
rnacentral:rRNA from 1 species